UGAAAAUACGCGCGGCACCUUCGCGCGAAAGCUCCUUUAUUGUCUCUCGCAACGUCUAUAACAACAAUCGCGGGGCGUCGUAAGAACCGCGGCGGCAUCCGCGCGACGCGGAAGGAUGUGCUGCAUUCACACGCAAAACCGCGGAUAAAACCAACAGUUUUAAUAUCCAAGAUGGUGAAUGCUUUGGAGGCCGCGGCGAAGAAUGAGGGACGGAGCCUGGUUGCAUUUUAAUCCUUCCUAUAUCAGUGCGGUCUACGAAGAUAUGCAUCCAGCCUUCGUAGCCGAGGGGCGAAUCCCGGAUCUCUCCGUGGAUUGUGAGGGGCCGCCACGAGAACGGAACGAUCGAGCGGCGAGGGGGCAACCGGGGUACAGGAUCGAAGAUAGAACGGGGUAAAGAUAGAAGAAGAGCGAGUUUCGCAUUAGGAGUAAUAGGCAUUAUCUCCAUCGAUCCCGACUCACUACUCCGCUUCUACCACCUCGCCCAUCACCCACCAUCUCCCUAGAGCUGGGUGGGUGAUUGGUUCGUUCGAGCUAACCAGAGAAAAAACGCAUGGGAAUUCUGCCGGCUAUGGGCACGGCGGACGGCAUUCUGAUCGCGAAAUGCGGGCAGCGGACUUGGGGAGAAUCAAGAAAGACCUACGUGACGUAUAUUGUUGGUACAUUUGACGCAGACGUACUGAGUUAGGAUACAACGAACGGUUUAGAAAAAUGGAAGGAUCACGAGCCGAGUGAGAUUCGAUUUGCAAUAUGAAUCAAAGCAUCCUGGCGUUAUUAUUACUGUACAUCACUUGGUCACUCGGGCAGUCGAUUUCGAAGGCACGUCGAACGAAACGAUUUACGGAUAGAGGGUAGGGUACGAGGAAGUGCUCUAGUCACCCGGCCAACCAGCGCCACGCCAGUUAACCAGCGAGCGAGCGAGCCAGCCAGCCAGCCAGCCAGCCAACCAGCCAGCCAGCUAGCUAGCUAGCCAAGCGCCAACAGUACAUACUAUACCAGUUUGACGCCUGUUAGUCGGUGAAGCAUCUACCAUUAACGGAGGCAAACAUAAGAAGGAACUUACUAGUCAUAGCUCCCGCAUAACAUCCACUAAUGCUGAUACUAGCGCAAUCAUAGUCAACGUGUUUCUUGCUAUAGCGAAAAGGCUCGAGAUCGGGAUGAUUCACAAUUAGGUGCUCUCCUUUAUCGAACAGCGGAAGAGAACGAGAUAUAUUGUUACAGUCACGCUGCCAAAAUUUAUAAAUGUUUUUUUGCGUCAUUAUAGAGAGGAGUUUUAAAACAUUGCGAGGUAACGUUGCACAAAUGUACAAUGAGUGCAAGGAAUAUAUAAUGAGUUUUCUUGGAUUUUAUAAGAGAAGAUCGCACUCAGUUUUCAGACAAGGCACCACGGCACCACUUUGUUCAUUCGGUUGUAAUUAUACUCGUAUAAAAAUGUUUCCCGAAGAUGUCUGUGUAAUAAGUUUGAAAAAAAGAUUUG